GAUCUUGUAACUUGCUACCUUGCUGAAUUCUUUGAUCAGCUCUAGUAGUUUUUGUGUGGACCUUUUAGGGUUUUCAAUAUAUAGCAACAUGUCAUUGGCAUUUAGUGACACUUUUACCUCUUCUUUUCCAAUUUGGAUCCCUUUUAUUUCUCUCUCUUGUCUGAUUGCUGUGGCUAGGACUUCCAAGACUAUGUUGAAUAAGAGUGGUGAUAGUAGGCAUCCUUGUCUUGUCCCAGAUUUUAGUGGGAAACUUUUGAGGUUUUCACCAUUGAGUAGUAUGCUGGCUGUAGGUUUGUCAUGUAUAGUUUUUAUGAUGUUGAGAGAUGUUCCCUUAUACCCACUUUAGGGAGA